AAAUAAAUAGACGAAAGGACUGACUGUAUAAUAAUGAUUUACUAAUUCAACUUAUUUGAAAUAAAUAUUUCAAACUCUAAGUUAUAGGAUUAGUCUGAUCAUUUUUAUAAGUCGGUUUGUGACACCUAUUGCGUCAAAUGCUGUUGGUACAAUAGGGACUUUUAAAUAUGAGACCAGAUUAAUCCUUCCAAAUUCUUUGGAAGGAUUUUUAU
rnacentral:sRNA from 1 species